rnacentral:rRNA from 1 species
UAUGCCUACGGGGCGCAGCAGUGAGGAAUAUUGGUCAAUGGGCGCAAGCCUGAACCAGCCAAGUCGCGUGAGGGAAGACGGUCCUAUGGAUUGUAAACCUCUUUUGUCGGGGAGCAAAGCGCGGUACGAGUGCCGUGAAGGAGAGUACCCGAAGAAAAAGCAUCGGCUAACUCCGUGCCAGCAGCCGCGGCAAUACGGAGGAUGCGAGCGUUAUCCGGAUUUAUUGGGUUUAAAGGGUGCGCAGGCGGCUUUGUAAGUCAGCGGUAAAAAUGCGGUGCUCAACGCCGUAUCGCCGUUGAAACUGC